rnacentral:rRNA from 1 species
CGCGUAGGUGGUUUGGUAAGUCGGGUGUGAAAGCCCCGGGCUCAACCUGGGAAUUGCAUUCGAUACUGUCAGACUAGAGUAUGGUAGAGGGAAGUGGAAUUCCGCAUGUAGCGGUGAAAUGCAUAGAGAUGCGGAGGAACACCAGUGGCGAAGGCGACUUCCUGGACCAAUACUGACACUGAGGUGCGAAAGCGUGGGGAGCAAACA